rnacentral:lncRNA from 1 species
GCGGCGGCGGCGGCGGCGGGACUGGCCCUGCGCCCGGGCACCGCCUGCGCUGCGCCGCCCGGCCUCACUCCGCGGCCCGCCAGGACCCGGCCCCGGUGAACGGGCUCGGGGUGCCGAGGUCCGGCUGCGGGGCCGGGAAGCCACCUCCACCUUGCCGUCUGUUACGACCCCCGAGGCGCAAGGCUGAGCCCCAUCUCGCUAUCCGGGUCCGGAGGGGUUCACCUUAGAAGGAUUUUUUGAAGCUCUUGGCGCUGGCUCUAAAAGAACCCACUUCCUUGCGGAUUUCAGGAGUCAAGAAUCCUUAAACGGAGCCAAUUUGCUUUGUAAAGCCAAUUGCCCAAGUGACUUGAGUUCGAAAGGAGAUACUUCCUGGACAACUGCUAUAAAAACAACAACAAAUACUUUUAUUAAUUCGGGGAGCCUGGUCACCAACUGGAUGCUCAGAUGGAACCCUGAGCAGCCCAUGUACAUGGAAGAUCUUUAUUGCAGAGAUCUUCAAACCAGGAUCUUCUAAGGGUGUGAGGAUACAGGCGUCAAAGACCCCGUGCUGAGACAGCUCCAUAACAACAUGCAGAUAUUUGGCAAUGAGGGUUCAGAAGAGGACUUGCUGUGGAGAAGAGAGAAAAGAGAUGGGAAGACUCUGUGAAUGAAUAGAGAACACUCUGCAAGCAUCCCAGUUCCUUUGGUUGCCCUGCAGUCUGCAGGUACCAGGAGAAAUCAAAAGCCGCCUGGAAGGGCUUUCUGUCUGUAUGGAGUCAAGGCAGUGUCUUCAAAUCUGUGCUUUCUAAAACAAAGAAAUAACCUUGAUGAAACAAAUUUUCCCCAGAGGAAGGGGAGAGCCCACAGUGAGCUGGUAAAGAAGAUGCCUGGAGCAGGCAGCAUCCUCAAAUGGAAGGUAAUUGCCCUCAAAUCACUUAACUAGGAUGACCUACUUUGCUUUCCUGUAUAGCCAGGUCUGUUAUCAGACCCUUAUCUUGGGAGGCAUCGUGCCAGAGCCUGGGGCAAGAAAGGGCUGCUAUCCAGGAAUGCAGGUGAAAUUAUAGCUAUUAGCCCUGUCUUAGAGUGUGAGGAAAAUGUGCCCCCCUACCCCUGGCUAAGUUUGGGUUCCCAUGUCAUAAACUGCCUCCCUCUCUGAUAGCUCUGCAUAAACAUCCCAGGAACUCAAAGUAACAUUUGAUUUCCCAAAGAGAACAUUUGCAUUUGUAACUGUCAGAAAUAGGAGAGAUCAUCAAAGCUAAAUGAAUUGGGCUAUAAACAGUUUGAAAUAUGUCUUUAAAUUUUAAAAAACAUAUUUUUUGUUUGUUUUGGGGAGAGAGGAUCAUUUAGACUCAACAACAAAACAGAAAACUGUGAGUGCCAUUUUGAGACAAGACCUACCUGGUCCUUCCCCCUCAUACUUUCUGCUACCCCGUGACCUCCCUCUCUCCUUCCAGUCACAGAUUAUCCGCUUGGUUUUGGAGUUUUAAAUGUGUGGUCCUGAGAGGGAGAGGAGAGCAAGAGAAUCUCAAGAUAGAUUUGGAAGAUUAGGGUAAGACAGUGAGGGUACUAGAAGUGCUUUCCCAAGUGAGUCCCCAGAAGGGAGGGAAAAUAUCCAUGGAGAAGGGGCAGUGUGGUUGGUCCUGGCUAAAGGGCCUGAACAGCAGAGGCUAUUGCAGCCCUGCAUAGCACAGGGCAAUGGAAUAACUUCAUAGGCCCCCAAACUGCAUGGAAGCAGAUAGGGUCUUAGAAGCACGGGGUUGCUUUCCUGGACCUGGUGUGGCUUGGAAGCCACAAAAUGUUUCCUGUGCACCUACAAGAGUGUAAGAAAACCACUGGAUAGGAAAGGACCUUGCAGACUGGAAUGAGUCAUCAUGCAGACCAAAGUCUACCUCAGUGGAUGGCAGUGUGGAUGGAUAGGGACAGAUGUCCGGAUACUGUCUGUCGUGUGCACUCCCACCCCAGCCUUUUGGUAUUCCUGGUACAAAGAUAUAACUCUUAGGAAAAACAGAAACCCUAAAUAGGCUGAGAUUAAGUUUCUUUCACCUGGAAGAAUGAAGACUAUGGUAGAUUUUGAGUUAUAAAACUCAAAUUUUUGCAUUUCUUGAACACCUAAGUCUAUGGACUGAUAUUAGCACCAGCUGCAGAAAUAAGCACAGUUCUCACCACUUUUCAAUUUGAAUGCAGAAGGAGCCUUGUCUGGCCAUAGCUCUGCCCUCUACAGUGGAAAACAUAACUUUAGUGGAAUUUAGAGAUCUUUGAGUAAAGACAGAAGAAUAGCAAAGUCUGUUAUUUACCACCUCACUUUUUUUGUACAAAUAUUUGAAAGCAUUUUCGCAUUAUACAAUACAAUUUGUUUCUAUUUUGAGGCAAACACAUCUGUUAGAGGAAUUAUUGCAUUUCUUCCCCCUAGAAAGCUGUCUCCUUAAUCUUUCCACAAAGUCUUGAGAAUGUUAGCUUCUUUUUCUACAUUGUUGGAAAUCACAGCGUGGUGUUCCUCCUGACGGCACUCCCACCUUCAUCAUUCUGUGCUUACAGUUUCACCACAUUCCAUUGUUCUAAUGAGGUGACUGAGUGGAAGCUGAGGUUAGAAGAUAAAACUUAGAACAGGAGCAGCCCUUGGCUCCUUUCCCUUGGAGGGUGCUUCAAAAGAGGUGAAGUUUUCAAAGAUAGAACUUCAGGGAGAGGGUUUUGUGUUCCGGCUUCGAAGUGGCAAUUCUUUCCUGAGUUGUCACCUGGACUAUCUUACCAUAUUUCCUGGUUGAAUGAUUCCUCUAAAUCUUAUCUUAGCCUGGCCAAAUAUCCCUGGUCCCUUUGAUAUCUAAGUUUUCUGGCCAAGAAGCAAAUUCCUGUAGUUCCAAAUCAGUAGCUCAAGUUCCUGGGUCAGACUACCCGCAGGCCCUCAAGUUGCUGUCUGGUUGUCGUCUAAAAAGUUGAUGUCACAGGCCAGUUGAUAUCAAAGAGUCCUGGGUUUAAAAACUGACUCAGGACUUCUAAUUGUAAGGCCUUACACAAGUUAUGUGACAAUUCUUAACCUAAGUUUCCUCAGCUAUAAAGUGGGGAUUAUAGCAAUAUCCCACAAUACCUCUGACAAUGAAAUAAUGUGUAUAUAUUGCUUGGCACCGGAUAUGGUUUGGAUCUGUAUCCCCAUCCAAAUCUCAUGUUGAAAUGUAAUCUGUUAUGUUGGAGGUGGGACCUGGUGGGAGGUGAUUGAAUCAUGGGGGUGGUUUCUAAUGGUUUAUCACUGUCUCCCUAGAGCUGUUCUCAUGAUAGAGUUCUCGUGAGAUCUGGUUGUCUAAAAGUGUGUGGCACCUCCCCACCCCACUUUUCCUCCUGCUCCAGCAAUGUUCAAUGUGCCUGCUUCCUGUUCACCUUCUGCCAUGAUUGUAAGUUUCCUGAGGCCUCCCCUGCCAUGCCUCCUGUACAGCCUGUGGAACUAUGAGCCAAUUAAACCUCUUUUCUUUAUAAAUUGCCCAGCCUCAGGUAUUCUUUAUAGCAGUACAAGAACCAAUACAGCACCUAAUAGGCAUUCAACAAAUAGUAAUUCCCUGCUCCUUCUGCCUAAGCAGACAUGCAUGGGUUUGUGUAUCUAAACUGUAGGACUUUACAAAGACUAAAAUGGAAUUUUUUGAGGCA